GCAGUCUGAUCCUGUGGACUCGAGCCGGUGCAGACUUCUAUCACCUUCGAAGGAUGCCAACCGUAAGUGCCGCUGCAUUUGCUAUCAAAUGUCUUUAGAUAACAAUCGCCACCAGGCUCAGUCUACUUUUUUUUUUUUUAUUAACUGCAGAUUGAAACUCAGUAACUUUCCCAAAAGGUGGGCCUACUGUUUUGCAAAUGCUACUGUACCACAUUUGUAAAAGUCUGUGUGGGAAUUUAGAAUGUCUCUCAGGAGAUGGUUUGGUAUAGCUAUGUACCUGUGAUGAAAGCAACUUCACCACUGGUAUUUGGAAGGGCCUGCUUGCCAGCCUCUUGCCCAGGACUAUGGUCC